rnacentral:rRNA from 1 species
CGUAGGGGGCAAGCGUUGUCCGGAUUUAUUGGGCGUAAAGCGCUCGCAGGUGGUUCGUCGCGUCGUGCGUGAAAGACCCCGGCUCAACUGGGGGGUGUCGUGCGAUACGGGCGGACUGGAGGCCAGUAGGGGGAUGCGGAAUUCCGGGUGUAGUGGUGGAAUGCGUAGAGAUCCGGAGGAACACCAGCGGCGAAGGCGGCAUCCUGGACUGGUCCUGACACUCAUGAGCGAAAGCGUGGGGAGCGAUCCGGAUUAGAUACCCGGGUAGUCCACGCUGUAAACGAUGCGCACUAGGUGUCGGGGGUAUCGACCCCCUCGGUGCCGCAGCUAACGCGAUAAGUGCGCCGCCUGGGGACUACGGCCGCAAGGCUA